rnacentral:rRNA from 1 species
GACGUAGGGCGCGAGCGUUGUCCGGAUUUAUUGGGCGUAAAGAGCUCGUAGGCGGUUUGUCGCGUCUGCUGUGAAAACCCGAGGCUCAACCUCGGGCCUGCAGUGGGUACGGGCAGACUAGAGUGCGGUAGGGGAGAUUGGAAUUCCUGGUGUAGCGGUGAAAUGCGCAGAUAUCAGGAGGAACACCGGUGGCGAAGGCGGGUCUCUGGGCAGUAACUGACGCUGAGGAGCGAAAGCGUGGGGAGCGAACAGG